GAAGUGCUCCAAGAUUUUUUGGUAAACAGGUGCAGUGACUUUCAAAAAACACAAUGGACCCACACCAGCAGAAAACAUUGCACCCAAAUCAUCACAGACUGUGGAAACUUAACUCUGGACUUCAAGCAACAUGGGCUAUGAGCUUCUCCACCCUUCCUCCAGACUCUAGGACCUUAGUUUCCAAAUGAAAUACAAAACUUGCUCUCAUCCGAAAAGAGUACUUUUGGAAAUUGGACCAAUGGCAAAAAUCCAGUUCUUCUUCUCUUAGUCCAGUCAGUAAAGAGGCUAAUCAGAUGCACCAGUGCAGCUCCAUAAGGACAAAAUGGAUGUACAAAAAAAUGAAGAUGGGAAUUCUUCUUCAGGAUACAGUUCAAUGCAACGGGAUAGAUCAGAUUCAGCAGAACCCAGCUGUGUGUCCAUGAAGAGUGACUGCUCUAUGGAUCCUCCUCCCAAAUUAAAGUGUGGAGACAUGCAGCUGA